rnacentral:rRNA from 1 species
UACGUAGGGUGCGAGCGUUAAUCGGAAUUACUGGGCGUAAAGGGCGCGUAGGUGGCGCUGCAAGUCGGUGGUGAAAGCUCGAUGCUUAACAUCGAGUCGGCCAUCGAAACUGCAGGGCUCGAGCACUGUAGGGGCAGAUGGAAUUCCGGGUGUAGCGGUGGAAUGCGUAGAGAUCCGGAAGAACACCGGUGGCGAAGGCGGUCUGCUGGGCAGUUGCUGACACUGAGGCGCGACAGCGUGGGGAGCAAACAGG